rnacentral:rRNA from 1 species
UGCCAGCAGCCGCGGUAAUACGGAGGGGGCUAGCGUUAUUCGGAUUUACUGGGCGUAAAGAGCACGUAGGCGGUAUGACAAGUUGGAAGUGAAAGCCCAGGGCUUAACCCUGGAACUGCUUUCAAAACUGUUAAACUAGAGAUUGAUAGGGGAUGGCGGAAUUCCUAGUGUAGAGGUGAAAUUCUUAGAUAUUAGGAGGAACACCGGAGGCGAAGGCGGCCAUCUGGAUCAAAUCUGACGCUGAGGUGCGAAAGCGUGGGGAGCAAACAGGAUUAGAUA